CGAUUUGCGAUGACGGUGAGAUGAUGGACGAAGAAGAUGGUGGCUCACCGGAAGUAGUCAAAUUUGUUUGUGGUUUGUUGGGUUAUGCAGGUGGUGGCUGACGACGAUGGCGAACUAGCGUGGUGUGUGAGAACGAUGGAGGUGCGAGAUGCGCAUAGCAGCGUGCCUGUUGACAGUUCUGGUUGGGAUCGUGGCAAAGCUGGGUUUCUCGGUGUUGAUGGUCGUGAAUGGUGGCCUUGGGUGACUGACGGCGAGACCGUGGCUGGUUGCGCGAUGUGGUGGCCGGCAUCUAGGUGGUCGCUGAAGGUCGCUGGGUGGCUGCCAUGGAGGGGGCGGCGGCUAGGGUUAGGAAGAGGAAUUAGGGUUUCUUCUGUGGAAGAUGGUGAUGACGUGGCAAGAGGGGGCUAGGUGGCAUGUUCUGAAUGGUCUAUUUGGUGUGCAGUAGGAUCAGUGACGUGGCAAUCAUCUGGAUGGUUGGAUCUAUUAGUGGUGGACUGCCACGUGGCUAAAUCUGAUGUAAUCUGGUUUAAUUAGUGGUAGGAAGGGUGUGUAUAGGAAAUUAGGGGUUACAAAUAUAAAAGGCUUAGUGUUUUGGGCUUGGUUGUUGGCCUGGUUUAGAGAAGAGGGGUAUAUGUAGAGAAAUUUGGGGGUGCAAGGGUAAAAACUGACUGUUUGGCCCAUCUGUACAUUAUUUAUCAAAUAAAAUCUGAUUUUGGGCUUUAAAUUGCAAUUUGGACCAAUAAAACUCUAACUUCAGCUGCA
rnacentral:lncRNA from 1 species